rnacentral:lncRNA from 1 species
CUCAUUCAAAUAUAUAUAUUCAUAUAUACAUCUAUGCAUGUACAUAUGUACUUAAGUAUGUACACUUGUAACAGACAAAAGUAUUUAGGUAUUUAGGUAUUUAGGUAUUAUGCACCUCUCCAUCGAUAGUAGUCGGGAUUAAAUUAAACCACAAGAAACCAUUUAAAAAACUAUUUAUGAACAGUUUUAAGACCAGAGUACAGGGUAUUUUUGAGUCCGGUUGUCAACUGUAGCAGCGUCUUUUGUUUUUAUCUGCUCUGACGCCUGUUGAUGGGGCGUCACUUGAGCAACCGUGAUCCACCUUGAGGCUGAGACAUGUCGGGUAGUUUAUCUUUCAGAACAACAAACCUUACGAACUAAAAGAAACUGCUCAUAUGAUUUUAUGUACGUAUGUAUGUACGUAUAGGAGGAACAUGUAAGUUUGUAUGGAUGUCAGACUCACACAAAAAUAUCCCUACACAAAGGAGUGAGCACUUUUAGUAUACUUAGGCUGAACCCCAGGCGAAGGCUUGCCGACACUCCUUAUAUCCUGUUCUUUGCCUCGACGGAGUGUCGUGCGUCUUUUCGGCAUAUCCUCUUUUCGUUGUGGCCCCUUGCGUCUCGUGCGACAAACCUUCCACUACCACUUCCACAUCCAUUUCCUGGCUUGCCACACGUGCGGCUGCGGUUAGUUUUCUGUCUCUGGAUGACGCCACGGCGUCGCUGUCCCGUCGCCGCCUCUAAGUAACCCAAGGUGUCUAUACGAGUACUUCGGGUGUGUGGUGCAAUGCCCAACUGACUGCGGGGGACAGGGAGUGCAGUGCGGUCUCUUUGUCGCCCCAGCAAAUGCGGUUGCACAUUGACGGAACAGAUUGGUUUCGAUGUGGUUUGGUUCGCGCUGGUCUCGUUUCGUCUGUGCUGUCGGAGUUGUGUGGACAGUGGAGGUGAGUUUAGGGAUUCAAAAGAAAUUGCACUAGGUACACAACUAUUGUAAUUUACUUACAUAAUUUGCUUUUUCAAAUGAAAGUUUUUGGCUGGAAAAUGCAUUCAUUCAAAUGUUUCACCAGAGAAGUGCACCAUGCGCAUAUUUAAAAGGAAAAAUGUUGUAUUCAACAUUUUGAAGCAAUAUUUUCGACAGAAACACUGCACUCCUAUCAGAAAUUGGCAUGCCGGUGCAGCUCCUAUUUCCUGUGUCCAUUAAUUCUACAUUUAUCUGAAAGUCACAGAAUGCUUACAAAAUCAGUAUCAGGAUCGGAAAAUCAGCGUCUAGGGUAUGCUGUAUUUUCCUGCCGUGAUAGCCAUGUAGGUGAUUCGUUAGAGAGGGAUCUGUGUAUUAUAAUCAUUCUGCCUGGAGAAGAAUAAUCCCCAGCUGGGCCCCGCAAUAAGGGGACAGGGGUACUUGUGUCGCAUAACAUCUUCUGCUCUUCAUUAUAGUCUGACUUCAGCAGGAGCCCACUCCCAGCCUGGGAACACGUUGCCGCAGCCACGAUGGGACCCAAGGGGCUUACGUCACGCAGCGAAAGUGGCGGAUGCUUGUGUACCACGAGUACUCCUCCUCGCCCAUGAACUAUGUACAUAGGUAUGUACAUACAUAUGUUUGUAUGUAUGUACCAUGGCGGGUGUGCACUAUAAGUGUGAGGACAUGUUUGUGCCUCUGGUCUGGAUGUUCACUCAGUCAUUAGGAGCAUGUAACGAAUAAAUUGCGUAUAAUAGCCUUCUGCAUUUAAAUAUGGCGCUAGAACAAUAUCUCG